GACGGUAAUGGGUAAAGAAGCACCGGCUAACUACGUGCCAGCAGCCGCGGUGAUACGUAGGGUGCGAGCGUUGUCCGGAUUUAUUGGGCGUAAAGGGCUCGUAGGUGGUUGAUCGCGUCGGAAGUGUAAUCUUGGGGCUUAACCCUGAGCGUGCUUUCGAUACGGGUUGACUUGAGGAAGGUAGGGGAGAAUGGAAUUCCUGGUGGAGCGGUGGAAUGCGCAGAUAUCAGGAGGAACACCAGUGGCGAAGGCGGUUCUCUGGGCCUUUCCUGACGCUGAGGAGCGAAAGCGUGGGGAGCGAACAGGCUUAGAUACCCUGGUAGUCCACGCUGUAAACGGUGGGUACUAGGUGUGGGGUCCAUUCCACGGGUUCCGUGCCGUAGCUAACGCUUUAAGUACCCCGCCUGGGGAGUACGGCCGCAAGGCUAAAACUCAAAGGAAUUGACGGGGCCCCGCACAAGCGGCGGAGCAUGCGGAUUAAUUCGAUGCAACGCGUAGAACCUUACCUGGGUUUGACAUGGAUCGGGAGCGCUCAGAGAUGGGUGUGCCUCUUUUGGGGUCGGUUCACAGGUGGUGCAUGGCUGUCGUCAGCUCGUGUCGUGAGAUGUUGGGUUAAGUCCCGCAACGAGCGCAACCCUUGUUCACUGUUGCCAGCACGUUAUGGUGGGGACUCAGUGGAGACCGCCGGGGUCAACUCGGAGGAAGGUGGGGAUGACGUCAAGUCAUCAUGCCCCUUAUGUCCAGGGCUUCACGCAUGCUACAAUGGCUGGUACAGAGAGUGGCGAGCCUGUGAGGGUGAGCGA
rnacentral:rRNA from 1 species